rnacentral:misc_RNA from 1 species
GAUGAAGAACGCAGCGAAAUGCGAUAAGUAAUGUGAAUUGCAGAAUUCAGUGAAUCAUCGAAUCUUUGAACGCAGAUUGCGCCCGCCAGUAUUCUGGCGGGCAUGCCUGUUCGAGCGUCAUUUCAACCAUCAAGCCCCAGGCUUGUGUUGGGGACCUGCGGCUGCCGCAGGCCCUGAAAACCAGUGGCGGGCUCGCUGUCACACCGGGCGUAGUAGAUUUUAUCUCGCUCAGGGCGUGCUGCGGGUCCCGGCCGUUAAAAGCCUUUUUUUACCCAAGGUUGACCUCGGAUCAGGUAGGAAGACCCGCUGAACUUAAGCAUAUCAAUAAGCGGAGGA